ensembl:lncRNA
GCACAGUUAAUAUUAUUUUUAAUAAAAUGCAUCAUCAAACCAGGAAGUGUGAUCAAUCAGAGACCCCCAAAAUGAGGACUCACUAGACUGUGUGAUGAUUGAUCUUUGAUUUCUAAGAUUUCGAUUCGAGUCUUUACAGACUUCUUAAAAAGAGAAGUUCAAGCAAUUCAGGAUGAAUAAAAUACGUUGAGAGUGUGAAAUAAAGUCAACGUUAUAAUAAGUAUUCCUAAGCAGCAGGAGCCCCGUAUCUACAGGGGAUCGGUUCCACUAUAUACCGUACAUACCUAUGAUGACGUUUCGUUUAUAAAUUAGGCACGAUAAGACAUGAACAACAAUAAAAUAGAACAACUAUAAUAAUUCAAGUUAUGAGAAUGUCGUCGCUCUGCCUCAAAAAGAAAUAUCUGUCGUACUGUACGCAGACCUUCUACGCUAGGGAUGGGCGAUAUGGACUUAAAACUAUAUCGCGAUAUUUUCUGGUAUUUAUUGUGAUAACGAUAUCAGUGAGGGUAUAAAUAUAGUACCGUGCAUGCACCGCUGUUUUUUUGGUUAGAAGUGACAGCUGUGAUCUAGACAGCCUCAGGACCACACGUCUGGAAUUUUAUGUUAAAGUUUUCCAGAGCGCGGGCGGUCAAACGCGCUACUUAAAACAGCCGAUACGGGAGUUUUAACGUAUUUACGAAUAUAGUAACUCCAUAUAUUGUAAUUAUACACUUAUUUUACUGUACUAAGAACUGAGAUUUAACGUGCUCUUUGAGAAGGUCUGUGUUAGUGUAUAUGUGUAACACACAAAGCACACCGCGCUGAGCUUCAUGAAUGCAGCGUUACCAUGGGCAGGUGUUUGGACUUCUGCAGGAGCCUCAUCAUGACUUUGCCGUAUCCUUUCGCAGUGCCCGAAGACACAAACGUAACGUUCAUACUGCUCUCGUCCUUAUCUGAGACGGGAGAGAUUGCAACACAAGUGAUCUAUCGUGUAUAAUCUAUUUAUUUUAACGUACACAGAGGACGAACGUUUACAAUCAAGUGAUAGGACGGCGUGGCAUAGUUUGCGUUCGUGCUGGAACGGCGGGUUCUCACCGUUGCUGGUGCCUGUUUUUAGGUAGCCGUCCAGGUGAGGCAGAAUGUCCAUAUAGUGUGGCUGGAUGAUGGAGGGGGAGAUGGAGGAGGACCAGGAUUCCAGAGCAUCCAGCGCUGAGGUGGCCAGAGGGGCGUGGCUUAGACCCAGCCGCAGAGCAGCCUGCCACACACACAAACACACCAUGUUUUUGCUUUUGCUUAUUUUGUAGAAAUGCAAGAAUUAUUUUGUUCUAACCUGUAGUGCAGGGAUGUACGCUUUGAUGUCCAAAGCCACCAUGUCAGGAUGGAGAGACAGCACAAACGUCAGACAUGCAGCCAGAAGCUCGUCCUUAUACUGUUUAAUGCGCAUACACACCUGUCGGGAAAGCCGAUUUAAGCAAACAGGAGAAGGGGAAAGAAAGAAAAACUACGCGUACUUUGGAUACUCGGUAAAAAUUGUGUUUGAAUCUCAACGACUUCAUAUUCAAAUGUUUUCAGAUAUUAAUUGGCCUGUUAAUCUUCACUGCCAUAGACAGAACAGGCUUCAUCAGUACAACAUGGCUUCACUUCAUACUCAGCCUACUUAGUAUAUUAUAUAUAUAUAUAUAUAUUUAUUUAUUUAUAUAUAUUACGAUGAAGGUAAAGUUCCGACACGAUUCAUCUUGGUCAUAUCACAAGUCCCUAAGGAGACAUGGCGAUGGACAUGGAGAUUCCAGUGCUUUCUCCUUCAUUUGAAAUUUUUUUUUGCAUUCUCUCAGAAAACUUUCGCGUCCUCCCGUUGGUGAGUUUGUACUAACGGUACAUACGGAAGAACAUUUGUACGAACUCAACGACGAGAGGAUGCGAAAGAUUUGUGAGGGUGCGCAAAAAAAAAAAAAAAUAAAUAAAAGAAGAGAGAGAGAACUGAAAUAUAAUUUUUCCUCCCAUCUCAUAUUUUUUCCCCCCAUCACCAUGUGUCGUUAGGGGCGCCGUAGACGUUUGACUUCGAACAGGUAAAUAUUCUGGAAAAAAAAAUAAAAAAUAAUAAUAGUGAAAUGUGUUUCAAAUGAAGUGAGAUUUCAGGAACUAGGGUAAAUAGGAAGUAAAGAAUAAGGGGGGGGAAAAAAACAAAACACACACACACCUCCUUGCCAAACUUGGAGACAAGUGCAAAACAGGCACUUCUAGCCUGGGAGCAGUCACUGGUGCUUUUGGGGCCUUGACCCUGAAGAAAAGAAAGAAAAAAAAAAAUCAAGGAUGUACAAAGAUGAAAAGAAAUGCAUGCAGAGUUCAGAUGAGCACACCGAGUGAUCAUGCUAUGGGCUCAAUAGGCUUGAAUAAAAGAGGUAAAAGACCUAGAUCUUUACAUGCAAGAACGUUUUAGCACCUCGAGAGCAACUGCAGGACUCACCUGAAAGUAUUUGAUCUUCUUGGCAAUGACCAUAGAGAGAGAAAGCAGCUUGUAGAAGCCGCUGACCAGAGGGAAGCGUAUCGACUGAAGGAUGAGCUCAUGGCACAUAGGGUAAACCCACUGAGCAAAAUACUCAGGGUUCUUUGAUGGAAGUAAUGUGCUAGAAAUAUACAAUAAACAUCAAUUAAUCACAUCAGUUAAAAACAGGAGUGUUAGAGGAUGACCUGUAUAUUAAGCAUCCUAAAGGAAUGCAUGUACAUAUUCUCGAAACGAUCUGAAAUGAGAAAGCACCUGCAAAAGUCCACUAAAUUUACAAAGGCGGUGAAAUCUUGGGCUUGUUAGGAAUCAGGUUGCUGGUGGGAUCAGAUGAGGGCAUGAAUCCAGAGCUCACAUCACUCUGUCCCUGGAGAAA